GAAGGUCUAGGUCAGUGGUAGAGUGCUUGCUUAGCAUGCAUGAGCUCCUGGGUUCAAUCCUCAGUACGUUCA
rnacentral:tRNA from 1 species